rnacentral:rRNA from 1 species
GUGCCAGCCGCCGCGGUAAUACGGAGGGUGCAAGCGUUGUCCGGAAUCAUUGGGUGUAAAGGGUGCGUAGGCUGGCAUCUAAGUCUGAGGUGAAAUCUUGCCGCUCAACGGUAAAAUUGCCUUGGAUACUGGAUGUCUUGAAUCUGACAGAGGUCGGUGGAAUUCGUGGUGUAGCGGUGAAAUGCAUAGAUAUCACGAAGAACACCAGUGGCGAAGGCGGCCGGCUGGGUCAGUAUUGACGCUGAGGCACGAGAGCGUGGGGAGCGAACAGGAUUAGAAACCCUUUAGUC